rnacentral:rRNA from 1 species
GACGAACGCUGGCGGCGUGCUUAACACAUGCAAGUCGAACGGAAAGGCCCUGCUUUUGUGGGGUGCUCGAGUGGCGAACGGGUGAGUAACACGUGAGUAACCUGCCCUUGACUUUGGGAUAACUUCAGGAAACUGGGGCUAAUACCGGAUAGGAGCUCCUGCUGCAUGGGGGGGGUUGGAAAGUUUCGGCGGUUGGGGAUGGACUCGCGGGUUAUCAGCUUGUUGGUGGGGUAGUGGCUUACCAAGGCUUUGACGGGUAGCCGGCCUGGGAGGGUGGACGGCCACAUUGGGACUGAGAGACGGCCCAGACUCCUACGGGACGCAGCAGUGGGGAAUAUUGCACAAUGGGCGGAAGCCUGAUGCGGCAACGCCGCGUGCGGGAUGCCGGCCUUCGGGUUGUAAACCGCUUUCGCCUGUGACGAAGAGUGAGUGACGGUAAUGGGUAAAGAAGCACCGGCUAACUACGUG